rnacentral:sRNA from 1 species
AUUCAAUUCAACAUUAAAAAUUAGAGGACAAGGUUACCACAAAGUGGGUUUAUUGGUGCCAAACGAGGAACAUUCAUAUUUACAAAUAAUCUUCAUGGGCGGUGAAGAAAUCUACGCAAAACAACGUGCACUCGCCAGUCGCAACAACAUCAAUUUUCCAACAGCCGGGCGAAUGGACAACGAGCUGGACAGCCUAUUGACUGCUCAUGCACAUACUACCCGAAAUUACACGUCCUAUAAUUAUAAUCGAGGCUGUAAUAUUGCUGUCUUUCCUGUUGAACGAAGCUAAACAAAUGUAUAAACGAAUUUUGUUGUUCAAAGAGGGCCUGGAGAACUGAAUGUCAGUCUGUUUUACAUAUCAAAUCUCAUAUUAGACAGCAUAUCAACAAACCUACAGCUCCAAAAAAAUCUCGACAGAAAAUAAUUCGUACCGUACCAAAAUACUAAGAAAAAACGAAUACACGCAAUAUUUCAUGUAAAUAUUCGCUGAGAUGAUAUGCUGGAAAUAGUU